rnacentral:tRNA from 1 species
GAGGGUGUAGCUCAGUGGUAGAGUGUGUGCUUAGCAUGCACGAGGUCCUAGGUUCAAUCCCCAGUACUGCCA